GAGGGUCAAGGAAACAGGCUGUGAUGGUUAAUAUUGAGUGUCAACUUGAUUGGAUUGAAGGAUGCAAAGGAUUGUUCCUGGGUGUAUAUGUGAGAGUGUGGCCAAAGGAGAUUAACAUUUUAGUCAGUGGACUGGGAGAGGCACACCCACCCUCAAUCUGGGUGGGCAUCAUCUAAUCAGCUGCCACAGCAGCUAAAAUAAAGCAGGCAGAAGUUGGAAUGAGCAGACUUGCUGAGUGUUCCAGCCUUCAUCUUUCUCCCAUGCUGGAUGCUUCCUGCCCUCGAACAUCAGACUCCAAGUUCUUCAGCUUUUUUUUUUUUUUUUGGACUCUUGGACUUACAGCAUUGGUUUGCCAGGGGCUCCCAGGCCUCUAGCCGCAGACUGAAGGCUGCACUGUGAGCCUCCCUACCUUUGAAGUUUGGGACUCAGACUGGCUUCUUGGCUCCUCAGCUUGCAGUCGGCCUAUUGUGAGACUUCCCCUUGUGAUCAUACCAGAUUACAGAGGGGUAUUGAUUUGCCUUGCCCCCGCCCCCACCAUCACAGUGUGUCCCUGUCCAGUGUUGGUGCUGUGUGGCAUUGCUUGUGUCCAUAGGAGUCCAUCAAGGCAGAGCGGCAGAGCGGCAAGCAGAGCGGCAAGGCAGUUCAACCCAAUGGAAAUGGAUUGAAAGAGUGAAAGUCACUGGUCUCAAAGAAUCUACGGAAUUUAGCAUUUUGAAAAUCACAGAGCAAUUUUGGGUAGGUAUUCACAUGCACUAAAAAACCAGGCAAACAUCUGACUCCCAGGAUAAAGUGACUGAGAGCAGUAGAAGACUUGUUGAGCCUUAAGGAAUAAGAGGAAAAUUAUGUUAUGAAGUGCAGGAACAGCACAGACCCAGACGAGGGGAUGCAGCCCGGAGCCAGUAACCCGGCGCCUCCUCCUCCCCAGGGCGCAGCGCUGGCUGCUCCCCGGAUACCGUGAUCACACGUCCCAGGUCCUGAGAGCGCCUCAUAGGUAGACAGUUCUUUGGGACUUUUGGGACGCAGCACUUGAAGAGAGGUUUACCUAAACUUUCCUCCUGGGAGCCUGUCAUCAUUUGAAAGUAACAGAAGAAAGCUGUCAGGCUGAGGAAAGUUUCAACAGGCACUUGGUGAGAAUGGGAAGCAUCCAUUCAUUGGGAAAUCACGGGGACAGAGGAGGAAUUCACGGGAUCAGAGCACUGAGAAACUCCAGAGGCUUCUGGUUCACCGCCCUGAUUCCACAGAUGUGGGUCAGAGGCAGAGAUGGAAGUUGGAAUGGACAAGCCUGCCCUCUCCUCAGCUCUCCAUGGCUCUGUCCUCAGGCUGUUUCUGCAAUUUGACAUGAGGCCUGGCCCCAGGGAAACCAGUGGGGCCUCAUCUCCUCCCUGUGCUGCUCUGAGGUGGAGCCUUCUCAGGGUCAGUCCAGCUCUGGAGCCCCUCUCCAGCUCGGUCACCAAAGCUGUCUGGUCCCAGGGCAGUGUGGAGUGACAGGCACGCCAGCCAAUCCAAUCGGCCAUUUCAUACCCAAUGCAUGUGACUGAUAAAGAGAUAACACCCUGUCUCCAAGACACAGGCUUUACAUAAACAGCUUUAAUGACUUCUUCACUUAGGGACAAGACUCCUUAGUGGUGGAACCUCAGGCAUCCAUGCAGGAUGUAAGAAAGCUCCCGUAUAUACAUGAACUGAGAAGUGUGUAGAAGAGUAAAUACUGUAAUAGGUAAUAAAAUGUAUGUAUUUUUAUUUAUGUGCU
rnacentral:lncRNA from 1 species